GAUGAACGCUAGCGGCAGGCCUAAUACAUGCAAGCCGAACGGCAAGUUUGAUAGCAAUAUUGGACCUAGAGUGGCGCAAGGGUGCGUAACACGUAUGCAACCUGCCCGCGACAGGAGGAUAGCUCCCCGAAAGGGGAAUUAACCCUCCAUAACACCAUGAGAAGGCAUCUGAUUAUGGUUAAACCGCACGGGGUCGCGGAUGGGCAUGCGGUUGAUUAGCUAGUUGGCGGGGUAAAGGCCCACCAAGGCGGUGAUCAAUAGGGGUUCUGAGAGGAAGGUCCUCCACACUGGGACUGAGAUACGGGCCAGACACCGACGGGAGGCAGCAGUAGGGAAUAUUGGACAAUGGGUGCAAGACUGAUCCAGCCAUGCCGCGUGCAGGAAGAAGGCCUUCUGGGUCGUAAACUGCUUUUUCCUGUGGAUAAAAUACCCGCGCGCGGGGAAUUGAAGGUAACAGGGGAAUAAGCCACGGCUAACUCCGUG
rnacentral:rRNA from 1 species